GUGAGGAAUAUUGCACAAUGGGGGCAACCCUGAUGCAGCAACGCCGCGUGAAGGAAGAAGGUCUUUGGAUUGUAAACUUCUUUUCUUGGGGACGAGCAAGGACGGUACCCAAGGAAUAAGUCACGGCUAACUACGUGCCAGCAGCCGCGGUAAUACGUAGGUGGCGAGCGUUAUCCGGAAUUACUGGGCGUAAAGCGCACGCAGGCGGCUUGUUAAGUUUGACGUAAAAUCUCUUGGCUUAACCGGGAGGGGUCGUUGAAAACUGGCAGGCUUGAGGCGAUGAGAGGGACAUGGAAUUCCCGGUGUAGUGGUGGAAUGCGUAGAUAUCGGGAGGAAUACCAGAGGCGAAAGCGGUGUCCUGGCAUUAGCCUGACGCUCAUGUGCGAAGGCGUGGGGAGCGAACGGGAUUAGAUACCCGAGUAGUCC
rnacentral:rRNA from 1 species